UACGAAGGGGGCUAGCGUUGCUCGGAAUCACUGGGCGUAAAGGGUGCGUAGGCGGGUCUUUAAGUCAGGGGUGAAAUCCUGGAGCUCAACUCCAGAACUGCCUUUGAUACUGAAGAUCUUGAGUUCGGGAGAGGUGAGUGGAACUGCGAGUGUAGAGGUGAAAUUCGUAGAUAUUCGCAAGAACACCAGUGGCGAGGGCGGCUCACUGGCCCGGUACUGACGCUGAGGUGCGAAAGCGUGGGGAGCAAACAGG
rnacentral:rRNA from 1 species